CCGCAACUCCUGGUCAAUUUUUUUUCUCCUUUUUUUUCCCUCUUCUUUUUUUUCUUUGAACUCCUAGGCUGUGGAUGACUUUAUGGUAGUUUUUUCAGUCGGUCAGUUUUUUCAUUUUUUUUUUUACGUGGCCAGUGGGCUGUGGAUGUUUUUUUUUUUUUCCAGUUAUAUGUGUUUAUGACUUUAUCGUAUUAUUUGUACUUGUUAAUUGUAGAUGACAUCUGAAAAUUCUAAUAAAAAGGACCCUAGUUGGAAGUAUUGCGAAAAGGUUGGUCCACACAAUAAUACCAAGUUGAAAUGUAUUUUUUGGAACAAAGUGAAAAAUGGGGGUGUGUCAAGAAUCAAGCAACACCUUGCAGGAGGAGCUAAAAGGAAUACGGCGGCAUGUCGCCGAUGCCCACCUGAGCUUUUCAUGGAUGAUAUGUUAUGUUUAGUGUUUGGUACUUUCGUUUAACCAUUGACAUGUUAUGUUUUAUGACAUUUGAAA